GACAGACGUUGGCAGAAUGGGGAAAGUGAUUCAACGGUAUACUGCCCCCCAGAGCCCUAGUUUAGGAGUGACGAGAGAGUCACGGUGGAGGCAGUUGUCGCCCGUCCCUCCCCUCGAAGUGACAAGUAAACAGACCGCCGUGGAGCAGCAGGCGUCCGACACCGCGCAGGGAACCCUGACGGACCCCACAGUGACAGUGACACCUGUGAACCAGCUCCGCUGGCAGCAGCGCAGCCAGCACCCCAGGACAUCCCGGGAGCAGCAGUGCAGGUGGUGCUGGGCCAGCAGCUCCGAAGCCUGUGGAGAGCCAGUGGAGGAGCCCGAGAGCCAGCUGAGCAGACCCGAGUAACCAGAGACAGGAGCGACCCAAGGGCCUUCAAUGAUGAAGGGAUAAAGAUGCGGUAUAUGUAUACAAUGGAAUAGUACUCAGCCAUAAAAAAGACGAAAUUCUGCCAUUUGCAACCACGUGGACGGACCUUGAGGAUAUUAUGAUAAGCAAAAUAAGCCAGACAGAGACAAACACCAUAUGAUUUCACUCAUGUGUGGAAGAUGAACAAAGAGACACAUAGAUAAAGAGAACAGAUUAGUGGUCACCAGAGGAGAAGGGGGGUGGGGCGAGAGGGGUAAAGGGGCACACAUGUAUGGUGACCGAUAAAAGCUAGACUAUUGGUGGACAUAAUGCCGUCUACACAGACACUGAUGUGUAACAAUGUGCACCUGAAAUUUACACUAUGUUAUACGCCAAUAUGACCUCAAUUAUAAAUAAAUGAAAGACUGACUUUAGAACCAAAGACACAAAUAGGUCAAAAGUGAAAGGAUCGAAAAAGAUGUUCCAAGCAAAUAGUAACCCAAGGCAGCAGGGGCGCUUAGGCUCAUGUUAUGACAAAAUAGACUUGAUCUUUCUUCUGGACUGACCUGUGAUUGACACAUAACAUUGAGUAAGCUUAAGGUAUACGAUGUGAUGAUUUUAGACAUGCAAAGUGAUCACCACAAUGAAGUUAGUUAGCACUCCCUUCACCCCGCAGAAUUACCAUUUGUUGUUAUGGGGAGAACAUUUGAGAUCUACUCUCUCAUCCACUUUCAAGUAUUCAAUACAGUAUUGUCGGUUGUAAUCACCAUGCUGUACAGUAGAUCUCAGAAGUGAUUCCUCUUCUAACUGGCAGUUUGUAACCUUUGACCAACAUCUCCUCAUUUCCCGCACCCCCCAGCCCCUGGAAACCACAAAUCUACCCUUUGCAUGAUUUUGGCUUUUUUAGAUUCCACAUGUAAGUGAUAUCAUACAGUGUUUGUCUUUCUCUGUCUGACUUACCUCACUUAGUACAAUGCCCUGAAGGUCCAUCUAUGUUGUCACAAAGGCAGAAUGUCCUUCUUUUUGUGGGUGAAUAAUAUUCCAUGGUGUGUAUACAUCAAAUGUUCUCUAUCCGUUCAUCCGUUGAUGGACGUUUAGUUUGUUUCCGUGUCUUGGCUACUGUGAACAAUGCUGCAAUGAACAUGGGGGUGCAGACAUCUCUGUGAGAUAGUGAUUUCCAUUCCUUUGGAUAAAUACCCAGAAGUGACAUGGCUAGGUCACAUGGUAGUUCUGUUUUUAUUCUUUUGAGGAAACUCCAUACUGUUUUCCGAAGUGUCUGUACCAUUUACAUUCCCACCAACAAGACACAAAGGUUCCUUUUUCUCCACAUUUUUGGGAGCAAUUGUUAUCUCUUGUCUUUUUAAUGACAGCCAUUCUAACAGCUGUGAGGUGAUAUCUCAGUGGGGCUUUGGUUUGCAUUUCCCUGAUGAUUAGUGAUGUUGAGGAUCUUUUCAUGAACCUAUUGACCAAUUCAGUAUCUUCUUUGAAAAAAUGUCUACUCAGGUCCUUUGCCCAUUUUGUAAUCAGAUUAUUUGAUUUUCUAUUGAUUUGUCUAGGUUCCUUACAUAUUUUGGAUAUUGAUCCCUUAUCAACAUAUGGUUUGCAAAUAUUUCCCCCCAUUCAUAGGUUGUCUUUUCAGUUUAUCAAUUGUUUCUUUUGCUUUACAGAAGCAAAAGAAUGUUGUCACACUUGUUAAUUUUUGUUUUUGUUACCUGUGCUUUUGGUGUCAUAUCCGAAAAAAUCAUUGCCAAGAUCAGAUCAAGGAACUUUGUCUCUAUGUUUUCUCCUAGGAGUUUUAUGGUUUCAGGUCUUAAUUUAAGUCUGUAAUCCACUUCAAGUUAAUUUUUGUGACUGGUGUAAGAUAGGGGUCUAAUUUCAUUCUUUUCCAUGUUAAUAGCCAGUUUUCAUGCCACCAUUUUUUGGAGAGACAGUCCUUUCUCCAUUGAGUAUUCUUGUCUCCCUUGGCAAAUAUUAGUUGAGUGUAUGUGUGUGGGUUUAUUUCUGGGUUCUUCACUCUCUUACGUUUGUCUAUGUGUCUGUUUUUAUGUGAGUACCAGACUGCUGUGAUUACUCUCGCUUUGUAUUUUAGUUUGAAAUCAGGACGUGUGAUGCCUCUGGCUGUGUGCUUUCUUGGGAUUGCUUUGGCUGUUUGGUUCUUUUAUGGUUCUGUAUGAAUAUUAGGAUUAUUUUUCCAUUUCUGAGAGAAACACCAUAGGAAUUUUGCUGGGGAUUGCAUUGACUCCAUAGGUGACUUUGGGUAAUAUGGACAUUUUAACAGCAUUAAUUCUUCCAAUCCAUGAACAUGGAAACUUUCCAUUUAUUUGUGUCUGCUUCAAUUUCUUUCAUCAAUAACACAGAGUUUUCAGUCUACAGAUCUUUCACUCACUUGGUUGAAUUUAUUUCUAAGGAUUUUAUUGUUUUUGGUGCUAUCGUGACUGGGAAUGUUUUCUUUUUUCUUUUUCAGAUACUUAAUUGUUAGCAUAUAGAAAAGGAACUGAUUUUUUUGAAUGAUUUUGUAUCCUGGAACUGAUCUGACUCUGUUUAUUAGUUCUAACAGUUCUCUGGUGGAGAACUUAGGCAUUUCUAUCUAUAAGAUCAAAUCACCUGCAAACAGAGACCAUUUUACUUCUUCCUUUCUGAUUUAAUGCCUUUUACUACUUUUUCUUGCCUAAUUUCUCUGGCUGGGACUUCCAGUACUAUGUGGAAUAGAAGUGGUGAGAGUGGGCAUCCUUGUCUUGUUCCUUAUCUUAAAGGAAAAUCUUUCAACCUUUCACCAUUGAGUGUGAUGUUAGCUGUGGGCUUGUUAGAUAUGUUCCUUCUAUGUCCAAUUUGCUGAGAAUUUUUAUCCUGAAAGGAUACUGAAUUUUGUCAAAUGCUUUUUCUGCAUCUUUUGCGAUGACUGUAUGAUUUUAUCCUUCAUUCUAUUAAUGUUGUGUAUCAUACUUAUUGGUUUUCAUAUGCAGAACCAUCUUAGCAUGACAGGAAUAAAUUCUACUCGAACGUGGUGUAUGAUCCUUUUAGUGUACUUUUAAAUUUGGUUUCCUAGUAUUUUGUUGAGAAUUUUUGCAUCUAUUUUCAUCAAGGAUAUUAAGCUGUACUUUUCUUGUAAUGUCUUUAUCUGACUUUGGUAUUAGGAUAAUUUUGGCCUUAUAAAAUCAGUUUGGGUGUGUUCCCUCCUCUUCAAUAUUUUGCAAGAGUUUGAGAAAUAUUGGCAUUAAUUCUUUAAAUGUUUGGUAGAAUUCACCCAGGAAACCUUCUGAUUCUGGGCUUUCUUCAUUGUGAGGGUUUUGUUUGUUUGGUUUGGGCGUUUUUUUUGGAUAGUGUGGAGCGAUUCCUGGCCUGUUUUUUUUUCUUCUCAGUGUGCUUUUUUUUUGGUGAGGAAGAUUAGCCCUGAGCUAAGGUCUGUUGCCAAUUUUCCUCUUUUUCUUUCUCCCCAAAGCCCCAGUACGUAGUUGUAUAUCCUAGUUGUAUAUCCUUGUAGCUCUUCUGUGGGUCGCCACCUCAGCAUGGCUUGACGAGCAGUGCUAGGUCCAUACCCAGCAUCCAAACCAGCAAACCCUGGUCUACCGAAACAGAGCACCCGAACCUAACACUAUGUCACUGGGCUGGGCCAUGUUGAGAGGUUUUUGAUUACUGAUUCAAUUUUCAUACUUGUUAUUGGCCUGUUCAGAUUUUCUAUUUCUUCAUGACUCAGUCUUGGUAAAUUUUACAUUUCUAGGAAUUAGUCAUUUCUGUUAAGUUAUCCAACAUGUUGACGUAUAAUUAUUCAUAGUAGUCUCUUAUGAUCCUUUCUAUUUCUGUGGUAUCAGUUCUAGUGUUUCCUCUUUCAUUUCUGAUUUUAUUUAUUUGAGUUUUCUCUUUUUUUCCUAGUUAGUUUAGCUGAUGAUUUGUCAAUUUUGUUUAUCUUUUCAAAAUGUCAACUCUUAAUUUUGUUGAUCUUUUGCAUUGUUUUUCUAGUCUAUAUUUCAAUUAUUUCUGCUUUGAUCUUUUUUAUUUCCUUCCUUCUACUAACUUUGGGCUUUGUUUGUUCUUGUUUUUCUAAUUCCUUGAGAUGUAAGGCUAGGUUGUUUAUUUGGGAUCUUUCUCUUUUCUUAAUGUGGGUGUUUAUCACAGUAAACUUCCCUCUUAGAACUACUUUUGCUGCAUCCCAAGUUUUGGUAUUUUAUGUUUCCAUUUUCUUUUGUUUCAAGAUAUUUUUCUAUUUCCCUUUUGACAUCUUCUUUGACCCACUGCUUGCUCAGAAGUGUGUUGUUUAGUUUCCACACAUUUGUGAAUUUUCCAGUUUUCCUCUUGUUAUUGAUUUCUAGUUUCUUACCUUUAUGGUCUGAAAAGACACUUGGUAACUUCAAUCUUCAUACAUUUGUUAAGGCUUGUUUUGUAGCUUAACAUAUGAUGUAUGCUAGAGAAUGUUCUGUGUGUGCUUGAGAAGAAUGUUAUUCUGCUGUUGGAUGCAAUGGUCUGUGUAUGCCUGUUAGGUCCAGUUGGUUAUGAGAAGAAUGUUAUUGUGCUGCUGUUGGGUGGAAUGGUCUGUGUAUGCCUGUUAGGUCCAGUUGGGUAAGGUACAAUUCAAGUGCAAUGUUUCCUUAUUGAUCUAUCCAUUGUGGGAAGUAGGGAUAAAAUUCUCCUACUAUUAUGGUACUGUCGUCCAUUUCUCCCUUCAGGUUUCUUAGUAUUUGCUUAAUUUAUUUAGGUCAUCUGAUGUUGGGUUCAUAUAUACUCACAGUUGUUAUAUUCUUUUGAAGAAUUGACCCCUUUAUCAUUUCUAAUGACCUUCUUUGUCUCUUGUUACAACUUUUUACCUGGUCUAUUUUGUCUGUAAUGCUACUCCUGCUCUAUUUGGUUCCAUUUGUGUGGAAUGUCUUUUUCCAUCCCUUCACUUUGAGCCUAGGUGUGUCCUCAAAGCCAAAGUGAGUCUCUUGUGGGCAGCUACAGUUAGGUCUUGUUUUUGAAUCCAUUCAGCCACUCGAUGCCUUUUGAUUGGAGAAUUUAGUCCAUUUACAUUUAAAGUAAUUAUUGAUAGGAACUUACAAAUGCUAUCUUGUUCACUGUUUUCUGCUCUUCUUGUUCCUUUCUUCUUCUUUGAUUGUCUUUCUUUGUGAAUUGAUUAUUUUCCAUAGUGGUGUCCUUUAAUUCCCUUCUCCUUAUCUUUUCUGUAUUUACUGUAGGUUUUUAUUUUGUGGUUAAUCUGAGGCUUCCAUAAAACAUAUCAUAGAUAUAACAGUCUAUUUUAACCUGAGCAACUUAACUCAAUCACACACAAAAACUCUACCGUUGCACUCCCUCUUCAUUUUUUAUGUUUUUGAUAUCACAAUUUACCUUUUUAUAUUGUGAAUCCAUUCAAAAAUUAUUGUAGCUAUAGUUAUUUUUAAUACUUUUGUCCUUUAAACCUUUAUACCAGAGUUAAGUGAUUAACAUAACACCAACUUACAGUAUUAGCAUACGUUGAAUUUGAUUAUAUACUUACCUUUACCAGCGACGUUUAUAUCUUCACAUUUUCAUGAUACUAAUUAGUCUCCUUUCAUUGCACCUUGAAGAACUCCUUUCAGCAUGUCUUGUAAGGCGGGUCUAGCUGUGAUGAACUAUCUCAGAUUUGUUUGUCUGGAACAGUUUUUAUUUCUCUUUCAUAACUGAAAAACAAUUUUUCCAGAAAACAUAUCCUUGGUUCACAGUUUUUUUCUUUCAGGACUUUGAAUAUAUCACCCCACUCAACCUGACCUGCAAGGCUUCUGCUCAGAAGUCUGCUGAUAGCCUUGUGGGGGUUCUCUCAAAUGAGAGAAAUAUUUUUCUCUUUCUGCUUUCUAGACUCUCUCUUUGUCCUUGAUCUUAGACAGUUUUAUUGUAACGUGAUAUAGAGAGAAUAUAUAGAAGGUGGCUUGUGUCAAAAUUUGGGAGUGACUCUUUAGUUUCAUGAACUUGGACGUCCAAAUCUUUCCCCAGAUUUGCGAAGUUCAGGCAUUAUUUCCUUCAAUAAGCUUUCGGCUCCUUUCUCCCUCUCUUCUCCUUCUAGGACUCCAAUGAUGCCUAGAUUGUUUCCUUUUGAGAAUGAUUCACUACUUCUUUCUUCUGCUUGGCUGAGUCUACAGUUGAAGCACUCUGCUGAGUUCUUCAGUUCAGUCAUUGUAUUUCUCAACUUUGGGAUUUCUGUUUGCAUUUUUUUAAUGAUUUCAAUUUUUUAAUUAAACUUCUCAUUUUUUUCAUGCUUUAUUUUCUGAAUUUCAUUUCGUUGUCUAUCUGUUUUCUUGUAGUUCACUGAAUUUCUUUAAGAGGAUUAUUCUGAAAACGUUGUACAGCUGCUGCAUAG
ensembl:lncRNA